UGAAAUUGAGUUGCACCCGUGAGGCCCUUCAGGGUUUGGAGGCUGCUCUGAGUUCUCUGUCAGGUUUCUCUUCAGGUUUUGUCCAGGGUUUUGUUCCAAGGAAACCUCAGAGUAUUUUGCUUCUCUUCCAUUUUCUCAAGUGAAGCCUUGGUAUUUAUAGACUGAAUUUCAUGGUUUUGUGGGCUUAAAUGAGAGAGACCCAAGUCCAAAAUUUUUUAUUAUAUUUUAUUUAUUUUUUUAUUAUUAUUUUUAUUU
rnacentral:lncRNA from 1 species